GUUUCGGACUACGCUAUUAGUCUAAGUCCUUAACUGGACUACGUUAUUUUGGUCAAGACACCUACGGAUACUCCUCAAGUCUGUAGCCCUGUCGUUAGUCAUUAAACAAUUCUUAGAGUCAGGGAAUAGUGUGACUAGCUG
rnacentral:ncRNA from 1 species